rnacentral:rRNA from 1 species
UACAGAGACUGCAAGCGUUAUUCGGAUUCACUGGGCGUAAAGGGUGCGCAGGCGGCCAAGUGUGUUAGGCGUGAAAGCCUGGGGCUUAACCUCAGAAUUGCACCUAAAACUACAUGGCUAGAGCAUUGGAAAGGGUAGCGGAAUUCACGGUGUAGCAGUGAAAUGCGUAGAUAUCGUGAGGAACACCAGAGGCGAAGGCGGCUACCUGGACAAUUGCUGACGCUCAGGCGCGAAAGCGUGGGGAGCAAAAGGG